AGAGUUUGAUCCUGGCUCAGGAUGAACGCUGGCGGCGUGCUUAACACAUGCAAGUCGAACAAAGCACCUUGAUUUGAUUCUUCGGAUGAAGAUCUUGGUGACUGAGUGGCGGACGGGUGAGUAACGCGUGGGUAACCUGCCUCAUACAGGGGGAUAACAGUUAGAAAUGACUGCUAAUACCGCAUAAGACCACAGCACCGCAUGGUGCAGGGGUAAAAACUCCGGUGGUAUGAGAUGGACCCGCGUCUGAUUAGGUAGUUGGUGGGGUAACGGCCUACCAAGCCGACGAUCAGUAGCCGACCUGAGAGGGUGACCGGCCACAUUGGGACUGAGACACGGCCCAAACUCCUACGGGAGGCAGCAGUGGGGAAUAUUGCACAAUGGGGGAAACCCUGAUGCAGCGACGCCGCGUGAGCGAUGAAGUAUUUCGGUAUGUAAAGCUCUAUCAGCAGGGAAGAAAAUGACGGUACCUGACUAAGAAGCACCGGCUAAAUACGUGCCAGCAGCCGCGGUAAUACGUAUGGUGCAAGCGUUAUCCGGAUUUACUGGGUGUAAAGGGAGCGUAGACGGAGUGGCAAGUCUGAUGUGAAAACCCGGGGCUCAACCCCGGGACUGCAUUGGAAACUGUCAAUCUAGAGUACCGGAGAGGUAAGCGGAAUUCCUAGUGUAGCGGUGAAAUGCGUAGAUAUUAGGAGGAACACCAGUGGCGAAGGCGGCUUACUGGACGGUAACUGACGUUGAGGCUCGAAAGCGUGGGGAGCAAACAGGAUUAGAUACCCUGGUAGUCCACGCCGUAAACGAUGACUACUAGGUGUCGGGCAGCAAAGCUGUUCGGUGCCGCAGCAAACGCAAUAAGUAGUCCACCUGGGGAGUACGUUCGCAAGAAUGAAACUCAAAGGAAUUGACGGGGGCCCGCACAAGCGGUGGAGUGUGUGGUUUAAUUCGACGCAACGCGAAGAACCUUACCAGGGCUUGACAUUGAGUGAAAGGACAAGAGAUUGUCCCCUCUCUUCGGAGACACGAAAACAGGUGGUGCAUGGCUGUCGUCAGCUCGUGUCGUGAGAUGUUGGGUUAAGUCCCGCAACGAGCGCAACCCUUAUCCUUUGUUGCCAGCACGUUAUGGUGGGAACUCAAAGGAGACUGCCGCGGACAACGCGGAGGAAGGCGGGGAUGACGUCAAGUCAUCAUGCCCCUUAUGUCCUGGGCUACACACGUACUACAAUGGGAUGGACAGAGAGCAGCGAAGCCGCGAGGCCAAGCGAACCCCAUAAACCAUCUCCCAGUUCGGAUUGCAGGCUGCAACCCGCCUGCAUGAAGUUGGAAUCGCUAGUAAUCGCAGGUCAGCAUACUGCGGUGAAUACGUUCCCGGGCCUUGUACACACCGCCCGUCACACCACGGAAGUCAUUCACACCCGAAGCCGGCAGGCUAACCUUUUGGAGGCAGCCGUCUAAGGUGGGGGCGAUGACUGGGGUGAAGUCGUAACAAGGUA
rnacentral:rRNA from 1 species